AAAAAAAUAGAAACAGUACAAAAAAUACAAGUACACUAAUUAUUUUGCAUUUCAAACUGAAAUAUUAACACAUAGACCAACAUUACAUUUCGUCACUCAUAAUGGAAGAAAGAGGUGUAUGUAAAUUGAAAUUAACUUAUCAAUUAGCUAAUAGUGAUCAUAAUAUUAAUUAAAAAUUUCAGAAAGAACCGAGAAUAGAAUCAUAAAUUGGUCGGAGAGAUCUAAAAAGACUGAAGUAAGUCUUCUCACUUGGAUGGAUAGAGUCAAAGAAGACAUAAGCAGAUGUAUUGGGACACACAUAUGACUUUGGAUUACACAAAAACGAUGCCUCUAGGUAUCCACUUCCACAACAUCCACUGAAGACUUCCUCGAACCCUAACAUACAAACAUAAAAACAGAAAUGUCUUUGAAACCAGAUUUACUUGCACUGGUAACAAUGGAAAAGAUCAAAUCUUUUUUCUUUAAAAGU
rnacentral:sRNA from 1 species